CAGUAGCCGCGGUAACACGUAGGGUGCGAGCGUUAAUCGGAAUUACUGGGCGUAAAGCGUGCGCAGGCGGUUAUAUAAGACAGAUGUGAAAUCCCCGGGCUCAACCUGGGACCUGCAUUUGUGACUGUAUAGCUAGAGUACGGUAGAGGGGGAUGGAAUUCCGCGUGUAGCAGUGAAAUGCGUAGAUAUGCGGAGGAACACCGAUGGCGAAGGCAAUCCCCUGGACCUGUACUGACGCUCAUGCACGAAAGCGUGGGGAGCAGACAGGAUUAGAUACCCGUGUAGUCCCUGUCUCUUAUAC
rnacentral:rRNA from 1 species